rnacentral:rRNA from 1 species
UACGUAGGUGGCAAGCGUUAUCCGGAUUUAUUGGGCGUAAAGGGAACGCAGGCGGUCUUUUAAGUCCGAUGUGAAAGCCUUCGGCUUAACCGGAGUAGUGCAUUGGAAACUGGGAGACUUGAGUGCAGAAGAGGAGAGUGGAACUCCAUGUGUAGCGGUGAAAUGCGUAGAUAUAUGGAAGAACACCAGUGGCGAAGGCGGCUCUCUGGUCUGUAACUGACGCUGAGGUUCGAAAGCGUGGGUAGCAAACAGG